rnacentral:rRNA from 1 species
GACGAACGCUGGCGGCGUGCUUAACACAUGCGAGUCGAGCGGACGUUGAGAGCUUGCUCUCAAAGUUAGCGGCGGACGGGUGAGUAACACGUGGGUAAUCUGCCCUCAAGUGGGGAAUAACACAAAGAAAUUUGUGCUAAUACCGCACAAAGUAUGCUAAUCGCAUGAUAGGCAUAAAAAAGAUUAAUUGCUUGAGAAUGAGCCCGCGGCCCAUUAGCUAGUUGGUGAGGUAAAGGCCCACCAAGGCCACGAUGGGUAGCCGACCUGAGAGGGUGAUCGGCCACGUUGGAACUGAGACACGGUCCACACUCCUACGGGAGGCAGCAGUGGGGAAUAUUGCACAAUGGGGGAAGCCCUGAUGCAGCAACGCCGCGUGAGCGACGAAGGCCUUCGGGUUGUAAAGCUCUGUCUUCGCUGACGAACUAAUGACAGUAAGCGAGGAGGAAGCCACGGCUAACUACGUGCCAGCAGCCGCGGUAAUACGUAGGUGGCAAGCGUUGUCCGGAAUUAUUGGGGGUAAAGGGCGCGUAUGCGGUCUUUUAAGUGGGAUGUGAAAUACCUAGGCUUAACUUAGGAAUGGCAUUCCAAACUGGAAGACUAGAGUGCAGGAGAGGAAAGUGGAAUUCCCAGUGUAUCGGUGAAAUGCGUAUAGAUUGGGAGGAACACCAGUGGCGAAUGCGACUUUCUGGACUGUAACUGACGCUGAGGCACGAAAGCGUGGGGAGCAUACAGGAUUAGAUACCCUGGUAGUCCACGCUGUAAACGAUGAGUACUAGGUGUGGGGGGCGAAGUCUUCUGUG